CUCCUCCUCUCCUCCGGCUUCAGUCUCAUGUCUUUUCUGCUCUGGGAGUUCUCACUGAGCUACAUUUCCAACAGAAAUCCCUGCAGGUCUCUUCCUGGGACUGAUGGGGACAGCGCUCAGCAGCCCGGUUUGUCCUCAAAACUGCAACCACGCUCAGCACUAUCACAGGCAGUACUUCACUCAUGUGUCAGACCUCCAAAGUUCUUCAGUCGCGCCCUGGAAACUACAAAACAACUCUAAAGCAGGGCGAGAACCAGAGACCAUCCUGCAGGCCGUAUGCUUGCCUUGCAGUGUGAAGGACAUGGAGGCCAGACCAAUCUUCUUACAGAUUCAGGUGUACGAGAGGAUAGGCACGCAUGAGUAUUGCAGCUGUCCGUUCGAUCUGGCGGUUGGAUGCACCUGUGUCGCGAGAGAAUGACGGCCGGACGCCAGGCUGUGCUGAAUGUGCCGUAACAAUCUGCUUUAAUUACUGGGUGUGCCUAUAUUGAAUUUAUUUAUUUGUUACUAGUAAAUACUGUUUAUCAGGUUAUAUAUGAGUGUGCAUGUAAAAUGCGACGACUUCAUCCUUUUUUAACUUACCUAUAUGUCAAUGACAUGUUUGUUUACAUGAGAUAAAACUUCAUGACUUAUUGAAUUUUGUGGCAGUGUUGCUCGUUUCAAAGCAACCUGAAUCCUUUUUUCUGGAAAAAUUCAGUGUACUGAUCUGUUCAAUGUGACUCGGCAUCUGAAUAUCACAUUUUAUUCUUUACAUGCAUCAUGUAAUAUGCAGUAACUUGAUAAUAUCAUAGUCAUUUCAGAAUAUUUCUGGUCAGUACCAAUGUG
ensembl:lncRNA